rnacentral:rRNA from 1 species
AUGAGCUACCGGGGAAGUCCAGGUGCCUCGCCAGUGCCAUCUCCGAUGGUACCUCUCAUGGUGGUCCUGGCCUUGGGGUGGGUCAUCUGCAAUGAGACCCUGAUGGAGUGGUAUGAGCAGGUGACUGACGUGCAGGAGACGGUGACCGACAAUGCCCUCAUCUUAAUCCUCGCCUCUGGGUUCCUGCUGCUCGCGGUCGUCCACCUUAGCAGCCGGAUGGAAGUGGUGCCGGCGGUGCUGGUGCUGGUCAUGCUCUUGAUUCAGAACAUCGUUGUUGCCACGUUCCUGUUGCUGCUGGCGGUGUACUUCGCCGGAAUAUACUACUACCCACCUCAUCGGGACUACGGUGGCAGCGGCAAUCUCACCGACCCCGGCGAUGACUGGACAGGCUCUGGGCUAGGGUUCUACAUGCUGCUGCUGCUUUGCCUGGUGCUGUGCGCCAUGUUUUCAGAGGAGGGGGGCAGCUGGUGGAUUCCAGGUGUGCUGUUGGCUGCAUGACUGCUCUGCCUCAACCUCUUCGCAGGUGGCAAAGUCUUAGGCUAUUAA